rnacentral:rRNA from 1 species
GAUGAACGCUGGCGGCGUGCUUAACACAUGCAAGUCGAACGGAAAGGCUCCUGCUUGCAGGGGUACUCGAGUGGCGAACGGGUGAGUAGCACGUGGGUGAUCUGCCCUGCACUUCGGGAUAAGCCUGGGAAACUGGGUCUAAUACCGGAUAGGACGAUGGUUUGGAUGCCAUUGUGGAAAGUUUUUUCGGUGUGGGAUGAGCUCGCGGCCUAUCAGCUUGUUGGUGGGGUAAUGGCCUACCAAGGCGUCGACGGGUAGCCGGCCUGAGAGGGAGUACGGCCACAUUGGGACUGAGAUACGGCCCAGACUCCUACGGGAGGCAGCAGUGGGGAAUAUUGCACAAUGGGCGCAAGCCUGAUGCAGCGACGCCGCGUGGGGGAUGACGGCCUUCGGGUUGUAAACUCCCUUCGCUAGGGACGAAGCGUUAUGUGACGGUACCUGGAGAAGAAGCACCGGCUAACUACGUGCCAGCAGCCGCGGUAAUACGUAGGGUGCGAGCGUUGUCCGGAAUUACUGGGCGUAAAGAGCUCGUAGGUGGUUUGUCGCGUCGUUUGUGUAAGCCCGCAGCUUAACUGCGGGACUGCAGGCGAUACGGGCAUAACUUGAGUGCUGUAGGGGAGACUGGAAUUCCUGGUGUAGCGGUGGAAUGCGCAGAUAUCAGGAGGAACACCGAUGGCGAAGGCAGGUCUCUGGGCAGUAACUGACGCUGAGGAGCGAAAGCAUGGGUAGCGAACAGGAUUAGAUACCCUGGUAGUCCAUGCCGUAAACGGUGGGCGCUAGGUGUGAGUCCCUUCCACGGGGUUCGUGCCGUAGCUAACGCAUUAAGCGCCCCGCCUGGGGAGUACGGCCGCAAGGCUAAAACUCAAAGGAAUUGACGGGGGCCCGCACAAGCGGCGGAGCAUGUGGAUUAAUUCGAUGCAACGCGAAGAACCUUACCUGGGCUUGACAUACACCAGAUCGCUGCAGAGAUGUAGUUUCCCUUUGUGGUUGGUGUACAGGUGGUGCAUGGUUGUCGUCAGCUCGUGUCGUGAGAUGUUGGGUUAAGUCCCGCAACGAGCGCAACCCUUGUCUUAUGUUGCCAGCACGUUAUGGUGGGGACUCGUGAGAGACUGCCGGGGUUAACUCGGAGGAAGGUGGGGAUGACGUCAAAUCAUCAUGCCCCUUAUGUCCAGGGCUUCACACAUGCUACAAUGGUCGGUACAACGCGUCUGCGAGCCUGUGAGGGUGAGCUAAUCGCUGUAAAGCCGGUCGUAGUUCGGAUUGGGGUCUGCAACUCGACCCCAUGAAGUCGGAGUCGCUAGUAAUCGCAGAUCAGCAACGCUGCGGUGAAUACGUUCCCGGGCCU